rnacentral:rRNA from 1 species
UACGUAGGGUGCGAGCGUUGUCCGGAAUUAUUGGGCGUAAAGAGCUCGUAGGCGGUGUGUCGCGUCGGCCGUGAAAACCUGCAGCUUAACUGUGGGCUUGCGGUCGAUACGGGCAUCACUGGAGUUCGGCAGGGGAGACUGGAAUUCCUGGUGUAGCGGUGAAAUGCGCAGAUAUCAGGAGGAACACCGGUGGCGAAGGCAGGUCUCUGGGCCACUACUGACGCUGAGAAGCGAAAGCAUGGGGAGCGAACAGG